rnacentral:misc_RNA from 1 species
UAAUGCCUGCAUGCAUAAUCUGUAAAACAAAGAAGAGAAGAAUGAAUUGUGGUUUUCUUGCAGUGACAUCUGUACUCAGUGUCCUGUUUAAUGUUUCCGUGGUUGCUGCAAAGCGGAACAUGAAUAUCACAAAGUUCAAUCUGGAUUUAUCUGACUAUGUGUCAGGCAAAUUGAUACCAGAGUUAGUCACUGGGAAAUGGAUAUCCAACUCAGAGAUGAUUACUGAAGACUUUAACAUUUGGAAUCUUAUUACAGGGGAUUUGGUGUCAGUACUUACAGAUAAUCUAACUAGACUUCUAAAACCUCAAAUGUUGGAGUUAUCUAACGACAGAAAAUUCGCACUUGUUCUGGUAAAGGGACAUGCUGUUUGGAGAAAUUCGGUCAUAGGAAAGUACGUACUGGUAGAUCUGACAACUAAUCUUGUUCAAUCUUUCCCUGAACUUGAAACAUCUGUUCGUCUAAUAUCCUGGGCUCCCACUGGAAAUUCGCUUGUCUACGUCAACAAAGAAAACAACAUAUUUUACAGAGACUCUGCAUAUAGUAAUAAGAGUGUUCAGCUGACAACAGAGGGAGUAGAAGAUGUUGUAUACUGUGGAAUCCCGGAUUGGGUUUAUGAAGAGGAAGUCCUUUCGUCAUCUCAAGCUAUCUGGUGGUCUCCCUCUUCAAAGAAACUUGCUUAUGCUGUCUUUGAUGAUUCCCAGGUGUCUGAAUACUCUUGGAACCAUUAUGGAAAGUGGAAAAAUGUUCAAAAUUUAAAAAAUCAGUAUCCUAGAGUCAAAACUAUUCAUUAUCCAAAAGCCGGCUCCAGAAAUCCAACCGUUUCUCUCUGGAUAGCAGUAUUUUCGCAGAAUGGAUCUGUCUUUAAAUUUCGCGUGGAAAACCCAAGCAUUUCAGCCGAACCUAUUCUGACAAGGGUUUUGUGGAUUUCUAAUUCUUCUCUAAUAUCAAACUGGAUGAACCGAGUACAAAAUAGAAGCAUCACGUUACUAUGUCAAGUUGCUACAGAACUUAAAUGCACAAAAGUUUUUAAAACAGAAGAAAAAAACGGUUGGGUGGAAAUGGAAAUGAAUUUUACCCCUAAUCCAGUUAACAAUGGAACCUUUUUGUAUCUCGCACCUGAAAGAAAAAAGGACCGAUUCCAUCAGAUAUUCAUUUAUGAGAAUGGAAAAGCUAGAAAGAUUACACACCACCAAGGAGAAAUUAACGAAAUCCUUAAAUUUAAGAAAAAUGGAGAUAUAUUUUACACAGGAGUUUAUUUGCAUGAUAGAAAGAGCAAGCAUUUGUUUAGAACUCAAAAAGAUGGUUCUGUGGAAAUUUGCGUUACAUGUCGUUUUAAGCACGAAUGUGAAUAUUUUGAGCCUUCAAUUAGUACAGAAGGUCAGUAUGCAAUACUAAACUGCCUCGGACCACAUAUUCCAUAUAGUAAACUUCUGGAUAUCAACACAAUGGAGAUAAAAGCAACACUAAAGAACAACACCAAACUUCAGAAAUUACAUUCUCCUCCCUUAUCCCACAGAAUUCACCUUCAUUAUGGAAAAACAAAUGUGGAGCUAAUGUUACCUUCCGGAGUAACAUUAAAAUCGGAUGUUGAACUACCAACGAUUCUUUAUGUUUAUGGAGGACCAGGAUCACAAGAAGUUUUAUAUCAUUGGUAUGAUGAUACUGUUCUUUUGUCAUACCUGGUUGAAACUAAGGGUUUUAUUGGAAUUAAAAUUGAUGCCAGAGGAUCAGGAAAUGCUGGUGCCACUUUCAUGAUGUCAAACUAUAGAAAUCUGGGAACCAAAGAAGUGGAUGAAAUCAUUAGUAUUGUAAAACGGUUACAGACCCAGUAUAAGAUUAUAGAUUCUAAAAGAACUGGAGUUUAUGGAUGGAGUUUUGGAGGAUAUUUUAGCCUGUCGGUUCUUGCUAGGGACUCCAAUGGUGUAUUUUCCUGUGGUGUUAGUGUUGCUCCUGUGUCGAUGUGGGAACUUUAUGAUUCAAUCUACACAGAAAGGAUAACUAUGAGGGGUACAAUAAAAGCACUCCGCUUUGGAAACUUGAAAACCUCAGAAACAAGUCAUAUUUGGUUCUCCACGGCACUGAGGAUGAUAAUGUGCAUUUUCAGCAAUCAAUGUUUAUUGUUCAAGAACUAGAAAAACAGAAUAUUCUGUUCGACCAGGUAUCAUAUCCUGAUCAGGAUCAUGGAAUUGGAGUUUAUCUAGAGCAUGUGAUGCAUACAGUGUCUGAGUUCUU